rnacentral:lncRNA from 1 species
GCGUUUCUUCCUCGCGGCCAAGGGAACCCCGCCGCCCACAGACCAGUCACCAGCAGCUCCGGUCGCCUCCAGCAGUCCUCCUCGUCGCCAGCUCAGCCACACCGCGAGACAAGCUCCCCUCCAUCUUCACAGCGGCUCCACCGGACGCAGACAACAGCAGCAGGGCCAUCCGCCGCUGUAACCAACAGAAGUGGAGACCAAACCAGCAGCCCACAUCCGAACAGCCCCAGCGGCGACGCCCCCUUCUCAGUCGUUCCUCUUCACUGCCGCCUGAAACAGAGAAGGAGAAGCCAGAUCGGACAAGAAAAAAUAAAACCGAAGCAGAUUUGAAGGAGAAUAGAGGCAGAUCGGGAAAACAAAAGAAAUAAAACAAAAAUAAAAUCGACUGCUUUGUUGAGUUUCUUUUGGUGUUUGUGCAGGUCACCGCCGGCGAGAAAGAAGGGAGGAACACGUUUUCAGACCCUCCCUUGCUGCUGGAUUUUUACGGCGGCGCGUCAACC